rnacentral:rRNA from 1 species
GUUAAGCGACUAAGCGUACACGGUGGAUGCCCUGGCAGUCAGAGGCGAUGAAGGACGUGCUAAUCUGCGAUAAGCGUCGGUAAGGUGAUAUGAACCGUUAUAACCGGCGAUUUCCGAAUGGGGAAACCCAGUGUGAUUCGUCACACUAUCAUUAACUGAAUCCAUAGGUUAAUGAGGCGAACCGGGGGAACUGAAACAUCUAAGUACCCCGAGGAAAAGAAAUCAACCGAGAUUCCCCCAGUAGCGGCGAGCGAACGGGGAGCAGCCCAGAGCCUGAAUCAGUGUGUGUGUUAGUGGAAGCGUCUGGAAAGGCGUGCGAUACAGGGUGACAGCCCCGUACACAAAAAUGCACAUACUGUGAGCUCGAUGAGUAGGGCGGGACACGUGGUAUCCUGUCUGAAUAUGGGGGGACCAUCCUCCAAGGCUAAAUACUCCUGACUGACCGAUAGUGAACCAGUACCGUGAGGGAAAGGCGAAAAGAACCCCGGCGAGGGGAGUGAAAAAGAACCUGAAACCGUGUACGUACAAGCAGUGGGAGCACGCUUAGGCGUGUGACUGCGUACCUUUUGUAUAAUGGGUCAGCGACUUAUAUUCUGUAGCAAGGUUAACCGAAUAGGGGAGCCGAAGGGAAACCGAGUCUUAACUGGGCGUUAAGUUGCAGGGUAUAGACCCGAAACCCGGUGAUCUAGCCAUGGGCAGGUUGAAGGUUGGGUAACACUAACUGGAGGACCGAACCGACUAAUGUUGAAAAAUUAGCGGAUGACUUGUGGCUGGGGGUGAAAGGCCAAUCAAACCGGGAGAUAGCUGGUUCUCCCCGAAAGCUAUUUAGGUAGCGCCUCGUGAAUUCAUCUCCGGGGGUAGAGCACUGUUUCGGCAAGGGGGUCAUCCCGACUUACCAACCCGAUGCAAACUGCGAAUACCGGAGAAUGUUAUCACGGGAGACACACGGCGGGUGCUAACGUCCGUCGUGAAGAGGGAAACAACCCAGACCGCCAGCUAAGGUCCCAAAGUCAUGGUUAAGUGGGAAACGAUGUGGGAAGGCCCAGACAGCCAGGAUGUUGGCUUAGAAGCAGCCAUCAUUUAAAGAAAGCGUAAUAGCUCACUGGUCGAGUCGGCCUGCGCGGAAGAUGUAACGGGGCUAAACCAUGCACCGAAGCUGCGGCAGCGACGCUUAUGCGUUGUUGGGUAGGGGAGCGUUCUGUAAGCCUGUGAAGGUGUACUGUGAGGUAUGCUGGAGGUAUCAGAAGUGCGAAUGCUGACAUAAGUAACGAUAAAGCGGGUGAAAAGCCCGCUCGCCGGAAGACCAAGGGUUCCUGUCCAACGUUAAUCGGGGCAGGGUGAGUCGACCCCUAAGGCGAGGCCGAAAGGCGUAGUCGAUGGGAAACAGGUUAAUAUUCCUGUACUUGGUGUUACUGCGAAGGGGGGACGGAGAAGGCUAUGUUGGCCGGGCGACGGUUGUCCCGGUUUAAGCGUGUAGGCUGGUUUUCCAGGCAAAUCCGGAAAAUCAAGGCCGAGGCGUGAUGACGAGGCACUACGGUGCUGAAGCAACAAAUGCCCUGCUUCCAGGAAAAGCCUCUAAGCAUCAGGUAACAUCAAAUCGUACCCCAAACCGACACAGGUGGUCAGGUAGAGAAUACCAAGGCGCUUGAGAGAACUCGGGUGAAGGAACUAGGCAAAAUGGUGCCGUAACUUCGGGAGAAGGCACGCUGAUACGUAGGUGAAGCGACUUGCUCGUGGAGCUGAAAUCAGUCGAAGAUACCAGCUGGCUGCAACUGUUUAUUAAAAACACAGCACUGUGCAAACACGAAAGUGGACGUAUACGGUGUGACGCCUGCCCGGUGCCGGAAGGUUAAUUGAUGGGGUUAGCGCAAGCGAAGCUCUUGAUCGAAGCCCCGGUAAACGGCGGCCGUAACUAUAACGGUCCUAAGGUAGCGAAAUUCCUUGUCGGGUAAGUUCCGACCUGCACGAAUGGCGUAAUGAUGGCCAGGCUGUCUCCACCCGAGACUCAGUGAAAUUGAACUCGCUGUGAAGAUGCAGUGUACCCGCGGCAAGACGGAAAGACCCCGUGAACCUUUACUAUAGCUUGACACUGAACAUUGAGCCUUGAUGUGUAGGAUAGGUGGGAGGCUUUGAAGUGUGGACGCCAGUCUGCAUGGAGCCGACCUUGAAAUACCACCCUUUAAUGUUUGAUGUUCUAACGUGGACCCGUGAUCCGGGUUGCGGACAGUGUCUGGUGGGUAGUUUGACUGGGGCGGUCUCCUCCUAAAGAGUAACGGAGGAGCACGAAGGUUGGCUAAUCCUGGUCGGACAUCAGGAGGUUAGUGCAAUGGCAUAAGCCAGCUUGACUGCGAGCGUGACGGCGCGAGCAGGUGCGAAAGCAGGUCAUAGUGAUCCGGUGGUUCUGAAUGGAAGGGCCAUCGCUCAACGGAUAAAAGGUACUCCGGGGAUAACAGGCUGAUACCGCCCAAGAGUUCAUAUCGACGGCGGUGUUUGGCACCUCGAUGUCGGCUCAUCACAUCCUGGGGCUGAAGUAGGUCCCAAGGGUAUGGCUGUUCGCCAUUUAAAGUGGUACGCGAGCUGGGUUUAGAACGUCGUGAGACAGUUCGGUCCCUAUCUGCCGUGGGCGCUGGAGAACUGAGGGGGGCUGCUCCUAGUACGAGAGGACCGGAGUGGACGCAUCACUGGUGUUCGGGUUGUCAUGCCAAUGGCACUGCCCGGUAGCUAAAUGCGGAAGAGAUAAGUGCUGAAAGCAUCUAAGCACGAAACUUGCCCCGAGAUGAGUUCUCCCUGACCCUUUAAGGGGCCUGAAGGAACGUUGAAGAC